rnacentral:rRNA from 1 species
UACGGAGGGGACUAGCGUUGCUCGGAAUCACUGGGCGUAAAGGGUGCGUAGGCGGCCUGGUAAGUCUGGCGUGAAAGCCCAGGGCUCAGCCCUGGAAGGCGCUAGAACUGCGAGGCUCGAGUGCCGGAGGGGAGAGUGGAAUCCUGGUGUAGCGGUGAAAUGCGUAGAUAUCAGGAGGAACACCGGUGGCGAAGGCGGCCAUCUGGACGGUAACUGACGCUGAGACGCGAAAGCGUGGGUAGCAAACAGG